rnacentral:misc_RNA from 1 species
UGUAGGAGUGAGCCUGCUCGCGAUAGCGGUGUGUCAGCUAACACAUCUACAUCUGACCCACCGCUAUCGCGAGCAGGCUCACUCCUACA